rnacentral:rRNA from 1 species
GUGCCAGCAGCCGCGGUAAUACCGGCAGUCCAAGUGAUGGCCGAUAUUAUUGGGCCUAAAGCGUUCGUAGCUUGCCGUGUAAGUCCAUUGGGAAAUCGACCAGCUCAACUGGUCGGCGUCCGGUGGAAACUACACAGCUUGGGGCCGAGAGACUCAACGGGUACGUCCGGGGUAGGAGUGAAAUCCUGUAAUCCCGCACGGACCACCGAUGGCGAAAGCACUUCGAGAAAACGGAUCCGACAGUGAGGGACGAAAGCUGGGAUCUCGAACCGGAUUAGAAACCCUGUAGUCC